CGUGAAAACUAAUAUUUUUCUUCUUCGGUUACAACUCUCGAUCUGUUCAAGUUCAUGUCAACGCGAAUGGAAUAAAACAGAAUGUUUUCGUAAAAAGUAGGAUAAAAUGUGUUGAACCUGAAAAUAUUUGAGCACGUAGGAAUCUUCAGGCAUUGAGAGUUUUUGUUCGAGGCCAAUUUCGAUUUGAGGAGCGACGACGAUAUGAAUCAUCCUUUAUCGGUAUUUAUGAUUGAUUGGGAAUCCAAGCCGACGCAACAAAGCAUGUCGAAGCGGCCGCCCUGUUAUAGAUCGACAAUGUAAUUGAGUGUCUGUUUGAUCGUGUGACAAAGUGUCGUAGAGUGGACCCAUUCAAUAUUUACCUCGUAUCUACGUGUGUCAAGAGCCAAGAGACUAACAAACGCGGUUAUUUGAAGUAGAAAAUUAAUCAGUAUCGAGACAGAUGCGUACAUUGCAAAAGUAUUUACAGCAGGCAUCUUUGACAGUGUUCCUAGAAAUAAGAAAUGAUAAAUAAAUCCAGGCUCCUCGAUCGUUAACCCUGCUGAAAUGCAACGCAUCGUAGCUUAUUGUGUCAUUUUUUGCUUCCAUAUUUACAUUUUAAUACUUUUCAGGCGAAUUCAUGAAUUUUUCGAUCGUUUUCUUUUUCUGUGACAUGAAGAAUGUUUGUAUAGUAUAAAUUCUUGAAUUUCUCGAUUGAUGUUUUUGGUGAGAAAUAAGUUGAGUUUCCGAGAACAUUAGACUUGUCAAAAAAUUGAAUUUCUCAAGGAAUCGACUAAACUAAUAAUAACUCGACUGAUUUUAUAAAAAUUUACCGAUCGCGAAGCACAAACAUUCGGAGAUGCUCGUAAGCAGCAUUGACGGACCAACCAUUCCCAAAAUAAGUCCCAUGUGAUCGACCACGGUUUCGCUCGAUUUACGUGGAUACCUAUCGUGGGUUUGUACCAAAAUAAAUAUAUUGUCAACACCCACUGCCAGGACGAGGAACGGUAUAACCUAAAACGAGAAAAUAAACAAGAAUUUUUUUUCGAUAUAAUAGUUCUGUUAAAUCGAAAGAUUUUUGUCCCCUUUCAUCGACCUUUCGUGUGCUUUCAUUGAAAUCGUGCGCUUGGAAAAACGUGUUAAAUUCAUCGAAAAAAUUCGAUUCACUACGAAGAUCCUCAAAUUUUUUGCUUUUGAGUGAAUUUCUGACCAUGAAGGAGAGCACCAAACCUGUGGCGUUGAUGUAGUCAGAAACUUCCACGGUUAUCUGGUCCGGUUGCAAGUACCCUCCGAACGUGAUGUCCGGAAUAACAGGACCAUUGUACGUGGACAGACACUCCGGAUUGUAAGAAUUCCUGGAAAGAAACAAUGUUUCAAAACAAAUGGGGACUGCGAAUCUCAAAAGAAUCGACGAUUUGCAGAGGGGAAGAUGCAAAAAAAAUUGCAAAAUAUUUUGGCUCAAGGAGGAAACAUUUUUGAUCAAAAGAAAAUGUGAAUUGAUGCGAGACGAAAUUUACUGACUGGAUGCAGAGAUACAACUGGUCCAAAUAAUUUUCUUCGUAACCGUUGUCGUU
rnacentral:lncRNA from 1 species